rfam:Aedes aegypti strain Liverpool supercont1.116 genomic scaffold, whole genome shotgun sequence.
UGCCCAGCAACUCCUAUCCCUACCUCCUCGUGGUACUGGCCGGAGUACGAGUAACAUUAGGGAAGAUCGGGUAAUCAACCUCGGUGGGAACUUGGGUCAUAUGCUGAUAGGAAAGG